rnacentral:lncRNA from 1 species
GUGGUGCUUCUCCCGACCUGAACGCUGUGGAUCUCGAGCCUCGACACAGGUUCCUGCACAUGACAUUGCUGAACCUGGUUCAGUGGUCAUCUCUGCAUCCCUUCACUGGCCUGCUGGCUCAGGUGGGCCACAGUGACUGUGCCUUGAAGGUCUGGUUUGAUGAUGCAGCCCCAGAGGAGGCCCCACCGCCUGAUGGGUAUAACAGCCUGCUGGACUCCUCAUCCAGCACUGGUGUCCUGACCGCACCAUCACUCAGGUAUGAAGGCUGGCCUGAAGCGGACAUGCUGCAGCUUGACUCAGCAAUGCCUUGAAAUCACAGACCUGCUUCAGUGGAGACCACUGAUGUAUUCUGAGGCUUUCCUUCACAUCACAGUGCAAUUCAUGCUGCAGGGAUUAUGUUUAUGUUUUAGGAAACCCCAUGAAUUAACCUUUCCAAAGACUGGGCCCUUCAAAUUGAAGUGACACGACCGCUAACCCUCCACCGUCAGACACAGGUGGUGUCUAGAUCUAUGUUUCUGGAUGCAGCUGGGAGGGACAAGAGGAACAUUAAACUCACAGAGUUUACCUUUGGAAGAGCCAAAGGUCACAAGAUCUCGUCUUUGCUUAAUCUUUACCCCGUGUCCCGUGUACAAGAAGCACAGACGCAUAGACCUUACAUAGUUUCACUCCUGUUGAGAAGAAGUCAGCCUACAGAACACUGGAUCCUGAGAUGUUUGGCACUGCUCUCUGACUGCAAAUUAGUGUGUAUGUUCAGUGUGUAUGUCUACUUUCAUAAGUUAAUGUCAAAGUUCACAGUAUUUGUUCACAGUUUAUUAUUGUUACAAGCAUAUAAUAUGAGAAAAUAAAAACAAUAAAAAUAUCACAAUGUCAAAUUUCUAAUGCUGU